rnacentral:rRNA from 1 species
UACGGAGGGUGCAAGCGUUAUCCGGAUUCACUGGGUUUAAAGGGAGCGCAGGCGGAUUUGUAAGUCAGUGGUGAAAGGCUUAAGCUUAACUUGGGAACUGCCAUUGAUACUAUAAGUCUUGAAUGUUGUUGAGGUUUGCGGAAUGGGUCGAUGUAGCGGUGAAAUGCAUAGAUAUGACCCGGAACACCUAUUGCGAAGGCAGCAGGCUAAACAAAUAUUGACGCUGAGGCUCGAAAAGCGUGGGGGAUCAAACAGG